rnacentral:rRNA from 1 species
UUAAGAUUUUAAUUGAAUGCUAAAAGAAUGGAAAUUUAAAAAAAAACUUUUUUAAAAAUAAAAAUCGAAUUUUUUUUAAUUUGUGCAAAAACAAUUAUAUUUAUUAAAGACAAGAAGACCCUAAGAAUUUAAGAUUUUACAAUUAAAAAGUUUUUUUUUAAAAACCUGAAUGGGGGGAACCAAAAAUAUUAAUAACUUUUUAAAAUUUAAAUUGGUCUAUUAUUAAUAAACUAAUGAAUUAAAUACCCCAGGGAUAACCGCGUAAUAAUUUUUGAUAAAACUUAUUGACCAAAUAAUUUGCGACCCCGAAGUUGGAUUAAGAUUCUUUUUUAAAGAAAAAAUUAAAAAAAAAAGUUUGUUCCACUUUUAAAUUCCUACUUGAACUGAAUUCCAAACGGA